rnacentral:misc_RNA from 1 species
CUGCUGGAAGACUAGUGGUAAAGGAUGGGAUACUUAAGUCUAUUUCAGCAUAUAGUGGGCAUUAUCGGCCAACUGAUGAUAGCCUCAACAGCUUCUUAUCAUUUCUGAAGGAAAAUGGAGUCAACCUGGAUGAGGCUGAGAUAAAAAAGCCAAGAGAUGAUGAUGAGAGCUAUGAAGAGGGAAAGUCAUCUGAGAGUAACUCUGCGUCUGAUCUUUCAACUAUAUCAGAAUCCCUUCAAAUUGAUUUACCGAAGGAAGAGGAAAAAGACUUGUCAGGAUUAGUGAUAAAUCCACAAGCUGAAAAGGCAAGUAACAACUAUAAGAGAACACUCUCGGGUGGUCUUGAGAGCCCGAGAGCUGAGGUGCCAAAAACUGCAAUACUGCAAAGGAUUAAUUCAAAGAAGUUAUCAAAGUCAUAUCAAUUGGGUCAUCAACUCUCCCUGG